GAUGAACGCUGGCGGCGUGCCUAAUACAUGCAAGUCGAGCGAACGGACGAGAAGCUUGCUUCUCUGAUGUUAGCGGCGGACGGGUGAGUAACACGUGGAUAACCUACCUAUAAGACUGGGAUAACUUCGGGAAACCGUAGCUAAUACCGGAUAAUAUUUUGAACCGCAUGGUUCAAAAGUGAAAGACGGUCUUGCUGUCACUUAUAGAUGGAUCCGCGCUGCAUUAGCUAGUUGGUAAGGUAACGGCUUACCAAGGCAACGAUGCAUAGCCGACCUGAGAGGGUGAUCGGCCACACUGGAACUGAGACACGGUCCAGACUCCUACGGGAGGCAGCAGUAGGGAAUAUUCCGCAAUGGGCGAAAGCCUGACGGAGCAACGCCGCGUGAGUGAUGAAGGUCUUCGGAUCGUAAAACUCUGUUAUUAGGGAAGAACAUAUGUGUAAGUAACUGUGCACAUCUUGACGGUACCUAAACAGAAAGCCACGGCUAACUACGUG
rnacentral:rRNA from 1 species